UACGGGGGGGGGCAAGCGUUGUUCGGAAUUACUGGGCGUAAAGGGCUCGUAGGUGGCCAACUAAGUCAGACGUGAAAUCCCCAGGCUCAACUUGGGAACUGCGUCUGAUACUGGAUGGCUUGAAUUCGGGAGAGGGAUGCAGAAUUCCAGGUGUAGCGGUGAAAUGCGCAGAUAUCAGGAGGAACACCGGUGGCGAAGGCGGAUCUCUGGGCCUUACCUGACGCUGAGGCGCGAAAGCUAGGGGAGCAAACAGG
rnacentral:rRNA from 1 species